rnacentral:rRNA from 1 species
UACGUAGGGGGCAAGCGUUGUCCGGAAUCAUUGGGCGUAAAGCGCGUGUAGGCGGCCCGAUAAGUCCGCUGUGAAAGUCCAGGGCUCAACCCUGGAAUGCCGGUGGAUACUGUCGGGCUAGAGUCCGGAAGAGGCGAGUGGAAUUCCUGGUGUAGCGGUGAAAUGCGCAGAUAUCAGGAGGAACACCAAUGGCGAAGGCAGCUCGCUGGGACGUGACUGACGCUGAGACGCGAAAGCGUGGGGAGCAAACAGG